UUGAGCUUUACAAUCAAGAUGUCAUAGCCAAUUGAGUGCAUAGGUUUCAGGAGUUAGAGAGAUGCUUUUGCUAAUGCACAAAGUCUUCACCAGGAAACAAUUUCACCUCUCCAUCAUGAUUUAGUGAUAGCAAUUCUCAGAAAGUAAAUACUACAAAGCUCAGUAAAGGGGAAACAGAACAGAAUCAUACCAAGAGGUGGCCUUGGAGAGUGCCACUGCCGAAACCGAAGGAAGCCUUGGUCGGGCCGCGGCCAGAGAUCUCGUCACGCACGUAGGCGAUCCGGAGCGGCA
rnacentral:lncRNA from 1 species